rnacentral:miRNA from 1 species
AUCUCUAAUGCAAGGUUCU